rnacentral:lncRNA from 1 species
GUCAUAUGGGAUGGUCACACAGGUAGCAUUGGCCGCACUGCAAGCCAGGCAAUGUCUCAGAACAAUGCAGAGGAUCAGAAUGAUGCUGCAAAUGAUGUAAGAAACCUUCCUGGUCCACAGGCUCCUCCACCUCCCAGACCCGGUCUUCCUUCUGUUAGGCCACUACCUCCACCUCCUGGGCUUGCGCUGAAUAUUCCUAGGCCUCCUAAUACAUUCCAGUAUUCCACACCAACCAUUGCUGGUGCUGCUCCGCCUCCACCUCAACCUCCUAUGGUUAACAUGAUUCCUCAGGUUCGGCCCCCACCUCCUCCCAUGCUACAACUACAAGGUCAGCAAAACCUCAUGGUCAAUCGUCCCCCAAUGCCUCCAUCAAUGGCUAUGAGUUCGCAUACCCUUCCUAUUCCACCACCUCCUGGAUCACAGUUUACACCUAUGGGAGCACCUCGGCCCUU